GUUCUUGUGACGCACGUCGCUGGUCGCCUUGUGACAGGGUGGCACGAACGUUCCAGAAGGCCCGUUUAUCCUCUUGCCGACUUUGGUUGGAUUUUCCUGCUUGUAGCCUUUACGUAAUCAUUACACUCGGGAGGAAGAUAAUAAUGAGAGGUACAGAAUUCAGACCACUCCAUACACCUGUGAAAGACAAGGCAGUUGAAGAUGUUGGCAAAAGAAUGGUUGAAUUUAUGGGCAAUGAAAUGGAAGCUGGUUAGGGAAGAAGUGAUGACAAUCAGAUGAAGAUUAAGGACAUCAAGGUAGCCCCACGACAGUGCAACUCAACCCUCGAUGAAAGAGCACUUCCAGAACUGCUUCAGAAAGUGGCAAGAACAAUGAGAUAAGUAUGUUCAAAAUGCACAGGAGUGAAAAUUUGAAGGGGAUUAAUGACAAUGUGUUGUUUAGUGUAGUAAGUUUUUUUUUUUUUAAUUUCAACUUCUUUUUUUUAUUACAUCAGGUAUACAUAGGAAAUGAAGACAAUACAUAGGAAAUGAAGACAGGUAUUCAGACAAAUACUUGGAUAAUGGGUACCAAAUGCAGUUAGAAAGGUGGUAUGUCAUUAGAAUGGUUGUUAUCAAAAAGAAAAUAAAAAGAGAAAUUAUCAAAUCAAAUGCUGGCAAAGAUGUGGGAAAAGGGAAUUCUUCUACACUGUUGGUAGAUAUGUUAACUAAUACAGUCUUUGAAAACAUUAUAGAGGUUCCUCGAAAAGCUAAAAAUAUAGAGCUAUGAUUUGAUCCAAGAAUCCUACGACUGGAUGUAUCUCCAAAGGAAUGAACUCAGUAUGUCAAUGAGACAUUUGUACUCCCGUUUUUGAAGUCAACCUAGGUGUCCAUCGAGCGAUGAAUGUAUUUUACCCUGAUUAAGAAAAAUGCAUCAGUAAAUACAGAUCAGUUAAAUAGUAUGGAAAGUUUAGAAAUAAACCCUUACAUUUACGAUCCAGGUUGUAUUUUUGUUUCCCUUCCCCAACAAAGAUGACAAUUGAGGAAAAGAAUGGUCUUCUCAAUAAAUGGUACUGAGACAACUGGAUUUCUACAUCAAAAGAAUAAAUCUGAAUUCCUCCUUCAUACUAUACACAAAAUUAAAAUUGGA
rnacentral:lncRNA from 1 species